CCUUUGACGUUAGCGGCGGACGGGUGAGUAACACGUGGGUAACCUACCUAUAAGACUGGGAUAACUUCGGGAAACCGGAGCUAAUACCGGAUAAUAUUUCGAACCGCAUGGUUCGAUAGUGAAAGANGGUUUUGCUAUCACUUAUAGAUGGACCCGCGCCGUAUUAGCUAGUUGGUAAGGUUAAACGGGCUUACCAAGGCGACGAUACGUAGCCGACCUGAGAGGGUGAUCGGCCACACUGGGACUGAGACACGGUCCAGACUCCUACGGGAGGCAGCAGCG
rnacentral:rRNA from 1 species